rnacentral:tRNA from 1 species
UAAAAGGUAGUAUAAUUUGGUAGUACAUAAGGUUUUGAGCCUUAAUUGUGUAGGUUCGUGUCCUAUUCUUUUAG